rnacentral:lncRNA from 1 species
GUCAAAUUCUCAAAAUAAUAAAAUUUUGGAAAAACUUCAGAAACCAUUCUUGUGGUUUCAUACUUUCUCACAUUAGUAUUCUAUAGUUUAAAAUAUAUCAAUUUAAUACCCUAUGAUUUUAUUUUUUUUAUUAUUGAUUCUACUAAUUUUUUUCGUUAAAUCAGUGACAAAUUUAAAACUAAAGAAUACUAAAGUGAAUAUCCGAUAAACCUAAGUGAGGUAUUUGAAGUUUUUUGUAUAUAAUUUAACGAAAUAUUGACGAAAAAGCUGAUAAAAAGAUAAAAAAAAAAUUACGGAACACCAACUUAAUACACUUUAAAUUAUAAGGUAUUACAGUGAGAAACUGGAAACUACGGGGAUGGUAUUUGAAGUUUACCCAAAAAUUUUUCGUUGUUUUU